AUUGAACGCUGGCGGCAGGCCUAACACAUGCAAGCCGAGCGGAUGAAGGGAGCUUGCUCUUGGAUUUAGCGGCGGACGGGUGUGCAUUGCCUAGGAACAUGCCUGGUAGUGGGGGAUAACGUCUGGCAAAGGGCGCUAAUACCGCACCCGUACAGAGGGAGAAAGUGGGGGAUCUUCGGUCCACACGCUAUCAUCUGAGCUUAGGUCGGAUUAGAUAGUGGGUGGGGUGAAGGCAUACCAAGGCGACGCUCCGUAACAGGUCUGAGUGGAUGAUCAGUCACACUGGAACUGGGACACGGUCCAGAGUCCUACGGGAGGCAGCAGUGGAAGAUGUUGGACUAGGGGCGAGGUCCUGAGCCAGCCAUGGCGCGGGUGUGUAGAAGAUCUUCGGAUUGUAAAGCGCUUUAAGUUUGGAGGAGGGGCAGUAAGAUAAUACCUUGCUGUUUUGACGUUACCAACAGAAUAAGCACCGGCUAACUUCGUG
rnacentral:rRNA from 1 species